GUUGAACUAAUUUACACUCCCACCAACAAAUGUUUCAGAAUCACCUGGGAUGAUCUGAAUGAAGAUUUGUGGCCUCUACCAAAGACUGAAGCAGAAAGGGAGCAAGAAGAUGAGGAAUGCUUAAGAAACUGCAUUCACAAACUCUACAUCUGAAUUUUACAACAUACAGAAGCAUGGGAACUACUGCCUCAGUGUUAACAGGGCUGAGAAUAUCAUGUGGUUCAGUCUUCUGACGAGAGCUAUAUAAUAAAAUCAUAGUGCCUUUGAACAUGAAGAUUAUCCUCAAGGCCAGAAGUCCUACAAAGGAACUGAAAGGUAGGAGAGAUUCCAGAGAUUUGCUGUCCUCAUUUUUAACAUGUAAAGUGACUGUUUUAAGUCACUUCAUUGAAGACUUAGUAAAGAAAACAGUGUUGUUAUGCCACUAAUAAAGCUACUUAAACCACAAUAAUUUUGGGAUAUUAAUCCUAGACUACAUAAUUAAUGGAUCAUCAAAAAAAGAACCUGUCAGUUAUUAAGCGUAAGUAAGUUAACUUCCUAUGCCAAGUAAGGGUCACACUUCACUUCCUCCAUUUGUAAAAAGAAAAGGUGGCCAGGCCAGUGCCAUUCAGGAUUCUCUGCUAACUGUAAAAUGUGGACUGACUUUCUUCUUUUUCUUGUAGUCCAGAUGUAUAUAAACUUCCAGUUCUUUAAAUCAAAAAUUUUUAUGCAUAUAACCAUGUCAGUGUAUUGCCCUUAGUUUAAAAAUGUACAACUACAUAAAUAAAAACUAUUGUUUCUUCAGUAUUA